rnacentral:rRNA from 1 species
AGAGUUUGAUCCUGGCUCAGGAUGAACGCUAGCGGCAGGCUUAACACAUGCAAGUCGAGGGGCAGCAUAAUGGAUAGCAAUAUCUAUGGUGGCGACCGGCGCACGGGUGCGUAACGCGUAUGCAACCUACCUUUAACAGGGGGAUAACACUGAGAAAUUGGUACUAAUACCCCAUAAUAUCAUAGAAGGCAUCUUUUAUGGUUGAAAAUUCCGAUGGUUAGAGAUGGGCAUGCGUUGUAUUAGCUAGUUGGUGGGGUAACGGCUCACCAAGGCGACGAUACAUAGGGGGACUGAGAGGUUAACCCCCCACACUGGUACUGAGACACGGACCAGACUCCUACGGGAGGCAGCAGUGAGGAAUAUUGGUCAAUGGACGCAAGUCUGAACCAGCCAUGCCGCGUGCAGGAUGACGGCUCUAUGAGUUGUAAACUGCUUUUGUACGAGGGUAAACGCAGAUACGUGUAUCUGUCUGAAAGUAUCGUACGAAUAAGGAUCGGCUAACUCCGUGCCAGCAGCCGCGGUAAUACGGAGGAUUCAAGCGUUAUCCGGAUUUAUUGGGUUUAAAGGGUGCGUAGGCGGUUUGAUAAGUUAGAGGUGAAAUGUUAGGGCUCAACCCUGAAACUGCCUCUAAUACUGUUGAACUAGAGAGUAGUUGCGGUAGGCGGAAUGUAUGGUGUAGCGGUGAAAUGCUUAGAGAUCAUACAGAACACCGAUUGCGAAGGCAGCUUACCAAACUAUAUCUGACGUUGAGGCACGAAAGCGUGGGGAGCAAACAGGAUUAGAUACCCUGGUAGUCCACGCAGUAAACGAUGAUAACUCGUUGUCGGCGAUACACAGUCGGUGACUAAGCGAAAGCGAUAAGUUAUCCACCUGGGGAGUACGUUCGCAAGAAUGAAACUCAAAGGAAUUGACGGGGGCCCGCACAAGCGGAGGAACAUGUG